AAAGAAACACAUUUAUCUGAAUUGCUGACUUUAAUUUAGCACUCUCAGUGCAUGUUUCAGCAAAAUUGGCUGUGGUUCAGCAGCAGCUGUCUCUGGAUCUUCCCUUAGAAAAUUUUACUACAUGAGCAGAAGUACGUCCUCCCUUGCGUCUCCUUUGCUCCUGGUCUGUGAUCCUGUAUUUAUUCAAGCAUCAGUCCAUUUGAUUGCCCAAGUCAUAGGCCAUCAAAAAAUCAAGUAGUUUUCAGCUGUAGAGAUCCUUUCUUGCGGUGCUUACUUGUUGCCCCCUAGAUCUGUAACAAAGGGGUUACACUGGCCUUCUGUGAGUUGUGUAUAGGGUGUCUGCAGGCCCGACUGCCUGUCACCUCAGCAGCCUAGAGUUCCUAAGUCACAUAAAAACUUCCCAGCCGAGUAGUUUACCAGCCACAGUAAUUUACCUGCAUCUGUGGAGACUAGCGGACCCUGGACCCGUUGUGUGACUGGGUCAUGGGAGCUGUUUGUGCUCCUGUCAAUUGUCCAUGGAAAGGAAAUAAACCACAAAGAGCUCCUGAGGUUUGUGGAUCAAAAAUAGCUAGAUUCAUUUGGACUGGACCAGGAGUAUCUUGGAAGAGACAGAAACCACUCCACGUAUAUAUAUUUAUUCCCCCUUAAGAGAGUUUAGAAAUAAUUUUUAAUCUGCUUUACUAAUA
rnacentral:lncRNA from 1 species